CCUACGGGAGGCAGCAGUGGGGAAUAUUGCACAAUGGGGGAAACCCUGAUGCAGCAACGCCGCGUGAAGGAUGACGGCUUUCGGGUUGUAAAGCUCUGUCAUCAGGGAAGAAAAUGACGGUACCUGAGGAAGAAGCCACGGCUAACUACGUGCCAGCAGCCGCGGUAAUACGUAGGGGGCGAGCGUUAUCCGGAUUUACUGGGCGUAAAGGGAGCGUAGGCGGUUUAUUAAGUCAGAAGUGAAAGCCCGGGGCUCAACUUCAGUACUGCAUUUGAAACUGUAGGACUAGAUUGCAGGAGAGGUAAGUGGAAUUCCUAGUGUAGCGGUGAAAUGCGUAGAGAUUAGGAGGAACACCAGUGGCGAAGGCGGCUCACUGGACUGUAACUGACGCUGAGGCUCGAAAGCGUGGGGAGCAAACAGGAUUAGAUACCCUAGUAGUC
rnacentral:rRNA from 1 species